rnacentral:tRNA from 1 species
GGGGAUGUGACUCAGUGGUAGAGCACCUGCUUGGAAUGCAGAGGGUCCCAGGUUCAGUCCCCAGCAUCUUCA